rnacentral:rRNA from 1 species
GUCUACGGCCAUACCACCCUGAACGCGCCCGAUCUCGUCUGAUCUCAGAAGCUAAGCAGGGUCGGGCCUGGUUAGUACUUGGAUGGGAGAAUCAUAGUAUCCUUUUGGUAUAGUUUCAGACU